AACGCACCUUGCGCUCCUUGGUAUUCCGAGGAGCAUGCCUGUUUGAGUGUCAUUAAAUUCUCAACCUAACCACUUUGUUGUUGGUUAAGGCUUGGAUGUGGGGGUUGCGGGCUUCACAGAAGUCGGCUCUCCUAAAAUGCAUUAGUGGAACCUUUUGUUGACCUGUUUCCUGGUGUGAUAAUUAUCUACACUGCGGACGGUCAGCGAUUCUAAUGGGGCUCUGCUUCUAACUUGUUUCUUAACGGGAACACUUUGACGAUUUGACCUCAAAUCAGGUAGGACUACCCGCUGAACUUAA
rnacentral:misc_RNA from 1 species